CUCAGACAACCAGGAGGUUGGCUUAGAAGCAGCCACCCUUUAAGAAAGCGUAACAGCUCACUGGUCGAGAUUUCCUGCGCCGUAAAUAUAACGGGGCUCAAGCACUCCGCCGAAGCUGCGGACUUCCUUCGGGAAGUGGUAGGGGAGCGUUCCAGUUGCAGUGAAGCAGUACUGUAAGGUGCUGUGGAGCGACUGGAAGUGAGAAUGCUGACGUGAGUAGCGAUAAAACGGGUGAAAAACCCGUUCGCCGGAAGCCCAAGGGUUCCUGUCCAAGGAUCAUCCGGGCAGGGUUAGUCGGCCCCUAAGGUGUAGCCGAAAGGCGAAGCUGAUGGGAAACGGGUCAACAUUCCCGUACCACCAAUCAAGAGCAGAGCAGGGACGGAGUAGGGUAGGUCUGCCAGGCGCUGGUCGUCCUGGUGCAAACCUGUAGACGGAUCUCGUAGGAACAAAACGCGAGGUCAACGUCAAGGGGUGAUGCGGUG
rnacentral:rRNA from 1 species